GCCAUCAUUACUAGCGUACUAACUGGCUUGCAACUGAUUAAGACUGGAGUACCUUAUAAUAAGGUGGAUAGCUAAUGGAGUCCAGCACCAAAAGACACACACAAUAUUGGACUGUGGAGGAGACCCAGAUUCUCCUAAACAUCUGGGCAGAUUCCAGCGUCCAACAGCAGCUGGAAGGUGCGCUCCGUAAUGAAAAAGUUUUCAGGCAAAUCGUGAUGGAACUGGCAGCGCUAAACAUACACCGCAACGCGAAACAGGUCCGUGAAAAGAUUAAAAAACUAAAACAACAGUAUAGGUACAUUAAGGAACAUAACAGUCAAAGUGAUGCUUAUCGCAAAGGAGGCAAAUGGUUUGAGAUAAUGGACAGUGUCUUGGGAGCCAGAGUCGGACCACGACCUGGAUGCAGCGGCGAUGGUUUAUUGAAUUCGGCAUCAGCGCGAGAGGCGUUACAACCGGAGGAAACCGGUGUUGACAGCGAAUUUAGUGAAGACGAAAGCAGUUCUUCAACCCCACGAGACAGAUGCGCUUCCCCCACCGAAAAUCCUUCCAACUUGCUGGAAAGACCUCCCACUCUUAGUUCCACAACACUGCCUCCACUGUCUCCAAGGACCAGACCUGGGAAAAGAAAACGAACUGUGACAUCUAAUACACCCCACGAGCUGGUCCAGUGCAUUCAGGAAUCGGAUGAAAAUUACCUCAGGUGUUUUCGGGAGAUGUUGGAGGCGAGAGAGAGGGAGAUUGCACAGGAAAGGGAGAUGAGAGAACGGGAGAUGGCGCAGGACAGGGAGCUGAGACUACGAGAGAUGGAGCUGAGGGAACAGGAGGCGGCAAGGUUUGUUGCAGUUUUCAGCCAAAUGG